UGCACGGUGGCUUAGUGGUUAGCACUGUUGCCUCACAGCAAGAAGGUCCUGGGUUCAAAUCCCCAGUUUGCAU
rnacentral:tRNA from 1 species